GUUUUGUAUUUUUUGAUAUCAAGUUCAAUUCUCCAUGCAGAAACGACAUUUUGUUUCUAUGUCCAGUAGCAUUGUAUAUUCUUAAAAUAUUUUCUCGCACAAUGUCUGGACAUCGGUGGACAUGCAACAUUGCAAAAACCACACUUUACAAAUGAAAAUCAACACUCUGCAGACUAUAGUUAUAAAGUAGGACAAUAAAUGAACAAAAGACAAACCCGGGACACAGAAGUACAAACAAUAGACCAUCAACUCUGAAAGCUAAAAGUAAAAUAGAAACAUGGAUGACUCAUGGAUCACGAAAAACAUGCAGGGGCGACAUCAGAGAGUGAAGAGAACUUGCUUCAUGCAAGAAACUUUCCGUGAAAACAUUUCAGGUUGAUAUGAAUUAAGACAAUCUUGUUUCAGGUUUUUUUGGUUUUUUUUUUUAAAUUUCCAGCAUGAGGCAUUUGCCUCAUUUGCCUCAAUGUAGUUACGGCC
rnacentral:lncRNA from 1 species